AGAGUUUGAUCAUGGCUCAGAACGAACGCUGGCGGCGUGGAUAAGACAUGCAAGUCGGACGGGAUUACUUUUGGUAGCAAUACUAAGAGUGAUUCAGUGGCGAACGGGUGCGUAACACGUGGGCAAUCUGCCUUAAAGUGGGGGGAUAGCUCGCCGAAAGGCGAAUUAAUACCGCAUGUGAUCAGGGGAGACAUCUUCCCGAAAUCAAAGGUGGCGCAAGCUACCGCUUUUUGAGGAGCCCGCGGCCUAUCAGCUUGUUGGUGAGGUAACGGCUCACCAAGGCGUUGACGGGUAGCUGGUCUGAGAGGACGACCAGUCACACUGGGACUGAGACACGGCCCAGACACCUACGGGUGGCAGCAGUCGAGAAUUUUUCUCAAUGGGGGAAACCCUGAAGGAGCGACGCCGCGUGGAGGAUGAAGGUCUUCGGGUUGUAAACUCCUGUCAUUUGGGAACAAGGUGCGCGCGUUAACUGCGCGCGCAUUGAUAGUACCAGAAGAGGAAGAGACGGCUAACUCUGUGCCAGCAGCCGCGGUAAUACAGAGGUCUCAAGCGUUGUUCGGAUUCAUUGGGCGUAAAGGGUGCGUAGGUGGCGCGGUAAGUCGGGUGUGAAAUUUCGGAGCUUAACUCCGAAACUGCAUUCGAUACUGCCGUGCUUGAGGACUGGAGAGGAGACUGGAAUUUACGGUGUAGCAGUGAAAUGCGUAGAUAUCGUAAGGAAGACCAGUGGCGAAGGCGGGUCUCUGGACAGUUCCUGACACUGAGGCACGAAGGCCAGGGGAGCAAACGGGAUUAGAUACCCUAGUAGUCC
rnacentral:rRNA from 1 species